CCGGUAAUCUGCGAGGACUUUUUCAUAAUACGAGGGAAAAGGAAAAGAAAAAAGGUAGACCGCGAGCUGGGGACGCAGAAGAGCAAGCACAAGCACAAGAAGGCUUAAAGCACUUUACGAUUGUUUUAGUGUCCGUUGAUCUUCACUGCUUUAGCCAUUUUGUUAUGGUUUAUGCUGUCAGGUUUUGGGGGAGUCUAGGAUUGCAGUGACAUUGAUUGUACUUGCAUAUAUAUUUCAAAUUGAUUAUAUACAAUGGCAUCCGUUGCAUCGAAAAACAUGUGGCUAAGAAGGCAGCAAUGCCCAUGUGGUGACUGGAAAUGUUAUGUAAUAUAUGAAGGAGAUGCUGAAGAGACAUCCAUAGUAUCCCAGAUUGUAAAAACUGAAUCACUUCAGUCCCAAGACAUGGUUGCUCCUUAUGUUGGAAUGGUGUUUAAGACCGACGAUGAUGCUUUCGAGUAUUAUGGAAAUUUUGCUAGGAAAAAUGGGUUUUCCAUUAGGAAAGAGAGGUCCAGAUUGAGCCCCCAAUUGGGGAUUUAUAAGCGUGAUUUUGUUUGCUAUCGUUCCGGGUUUGCACCGGCAAGGAAAAAGCUUUCUGGAGAACACCAUAGAGAUAGGAAGUCUGUACGGUGUGGGUGUGAUGCUAAGAUGUACUUGUCCAAGGAAGUAAUAGAUGGGGUUUCUCAAUGGUUUGUUGUACAGUUUAGCAAUGUUCAUAAUCACGAGCUUUUAGAGGAUGACCAGGUCCGUCUCUUGCCUGCAUAUAGGAAGAUUAAUGAGGCAGAUCAAGAGAGAAUUUUACUACUUUCAAAAGCUGGGUUUCCUAUACAUCGUAUAGUGAAGGUUUUGGAGUUGGAAAAAGGCAUUCAAGGUGGGCAAUUGCCUUUUUUGGAGAGAGAUGUUAGGAAUUUUGUUCAAAACCGGAAGAAAGUGGUUCAAGAAAAUGAUGCUUUGCUCAAUGAGAAAAGAGAAAAUGAUACAAUGGAACUUCUUGAGGCAUGUAAAGCAACAAAAGAGGCUGAUCAAGAUUUUGUUUAUGAUUUUACAGUAGAUCAGAAUGAUAAGGUUGAGAACAUUGCUUGGUCAUAUGGUGUCGCUGUUAAUUCAUAUGCCUUGUUUGGUGAUGUUGUUUAUUUUGACACCACUUACAGAUCAAUCACAUAUGAUAUGCUUUUUGGGGCAUGGUUUGGAAUUGACAACAAUGGUCAACCAAUUUUCUUUGGUUGCGUUUUAUUGCAGGAUGAAACACUGCGCUCCUUUGCAUGGGCUAUACAGACGCUUAUCCGCUUCAUGAAAGGGAGAUGUCCACAGACAAUUUUAAGUGAUCUUGAUCCACGACUUAGAGAUGCUAUAACAAGUGAAUUACCGAGUACUAAACAUGUUACAUCUAUAUGGAACAUACUUCCAAAGGUAUCUAGCUGGUUCUCUCUUCAGCUUGGAUCUCAAUAUGCAGACUUUAAAUCAGAAUUUGAUGCAUUGUAUCGUCUGGAGAGUACAGAGGAUUUUGAGCUACGAUGGAAUCAAAUGGUUUCCAUAUUUGGACUUGGCUCAGAUAAACAUAUCACUUUACUCUACUCUCUUCGUACAUCUUGGGUGCUGUCAUAUGUGAGAGUUCAUUUUCUUGCUCGAAUGGCAACAACAGCCUAUUCAAAGUCUGUAGAUGCUUUCUUGAAAGGGAUCUUCGGUGCUCAAUCAUGUUUACGUGGAUUUUUUGAGCAGGUUGGUAUUGCAGCCAAUUUACAAAAUGAGCGACAUCAAGAGAUGCAGUGCCAGUAUCUGCAUAUGAAAACAUGCUUACCCAUUGAAGAGCAUUCACGGAAAAUUCUUACACCCUUUGCAUUCAAUGCUCUACAACAGGAAUUAAUAGUAAGCAUGCAGUAUGCUGCAUCUGAAAUGGCCAAUGGAUCAUAUCUUGUGCGUCAUUUCAGAAAGAUUGAUGGGGAAAGUCUUGUUAUAUGGAUUCCAGAAGAUGAACAGAUUCACUGUUCAUGUAAGGAGUUUGAGUCUUCUGGGAUAUUGUGCAGACAUGCUCUUCGUGUAUUUAUAGAUAAGAACUACUUUCAACUUCCUGAAAAGUACUUUCUAAGUAGAUGGCGAAGAGAAAGCUCUUUGAUGUUUUAUGAUGAUCAUUCUGUUCAUGAUAAAGAUGAUGAAUGGUUUCAAGAGUUCCAGUCCUUAACUGAAACUUUAUUUGCAGAAUCAUCAAUUACAAAAGAGCGCUCUGAUUAUAUUCGUAGGGAGCUGACAAAGGAACUUACAAGACUUCUCAAUGAGGUUAGAGAUAUGCCUGAAAAUGAUGGAGCACCCAUGGAUUUUACGCUUACACCAACUGAUUAGUUGCUGAUUAGUUAAAGCCGCUCUUCAGAGUAAAUAGAACCACCAGAUACUACAAUAACAAAAGUGAUAACCAAUUAAAAGUGUACCAUGAAGAUGAUCAUAUUGUAGUUGGCUCUCUUUCAAUUUCUACAUGCAAGUGGAAUGAAUGCUAUUUGAAAAUGAGUGAUAAUCUGAAGUAGAUACUGAAGAACAUAUUCUUGGAUGGCUUUUGACAAGUCAUUUUAAUUCCCUUCAGGAAAUAGACAAUGGAAUGUAGAUCAAAAUACAAGGAUGUGAACUUCCAUAUGGUAGUCUGCAAUGUGACAGUUUAUCCACUACAGAGAUGGUGAUUAAGAUGCAUGAUACACACAGAUUCGUUGCUCUCAGGAUGUAUAACGGGUUGAAGUUCAUUGAGCCUAUGUUACUUGGACUUGGUGUGAGUGUCCGCUACAGGUAUGUAUCCAUUUAUCCUGGUGGGAUUCAAUUUUUCUGGUUGAAAAUGUUGCAGGUCAAAAGAUGGGGAUACUAAUCUUCAGCAUCAGUGAUAAACCAUCGAAAGUUGGGUUAUCAUGUUCUAUAUGGUGCCACCAGUUUCAUCCCAGGCAGUUUCAGGUGAAAUUUGACAAACAUACACCAUCUGAUUGCAAGAAUAAUCUUUCUGAAUGAUGAUUGAAAAGCGGAUUGUCUCUGCCACCUGUAUGUUUUUAUAUCUGUUAGUGGUUUGGCUCAGCCUGACCUGAAUAGUUUUCUUGGCCCUGCACAAUCGAAGAGCCAACACGUUUUCACUAUCUAGACCCGCAUUACAUGCCUUUUAUGGAAAUGGCCAAUAUAGCAGGACUGAUGCUGCAACAAGCAUGCUCUAGUUGGCAAUGCUUCUCAUGAUGCCUGCCACUGUGUGAUCCUUCUAGACAAUCUCCCUUUCUCCAUAACUGGUCUGCCUUUGCAGGUAUGAAAUUGAAAUGAUUCAAUGUGAGUGUCAUGGCAUAAGGGUCCCUCGGCUGACAGCAGAGAUUGUCCACUAUAUUUUGCUAAAUAACAUAAAUAAUAAACAAAUAAAUGGAAAUGAAAGGUGCAUAGAUUUGUAGGCACAUGAUUGUGGGAAAUGUUGAAAUAUGUGAAACCCAUAUAUUUUGGGAUAUAUUUUAAAGUUAUUUAGGUAGAUAAAUCUUAUUUAGAUAGAUAAAUCUUAGAAUAAAUCGUUUGAGAUAUUCUAGGAA